rnacentral:rRNA from 1 species
GAUGAACGCUAGCGAUAGGCCUAACACAUGCAAGUCGAGGGGCAUCACAUGAAGUAGCAAUACGGAUGGUGGCGACCGGCGCACGGGUGAGUAACACGUAUGCAACCUGCCUUCAACAAGGGGAUAACCCGUUGAAAGACGGACUAAUACCCUAUAACACAGGGGUCCCGCAUGGGAAUAUUUGUUAAAGGACAACCGGUUGAAGAUGGGCAUGCGUUCCAUUAGCUAGUUGGCGGGGUAACGGCCCACCAAGGCAACGAUGGAUAGGGGAACUGAGAGGUUUAUCCCCCACACUGGUACUGAGACACGGACCAGACUCCUACGGGAGGCAGCAGUGAGGAAUAUUGGUCAAUGGGCGAGAGCCUGAACCAGCCAAGUCGCGUGAAGGAAGACUGCCUUAUGGGUUGUAAACUUCUUUUAUACAGGAAUAAAAAGGCUUACGUGUAGGCCAUUGCAAGUACUGUAUGAAUAAGCAUCGGCUAACUCCGUGCCAGCAGCCGCGGUAA